UGGGGAAUAUUGCACAAUGGGCGCAAGCCUGAUGCAGCCAUGCCGCGUGUAUGAAGAAGGCCUUCGGGUUGUAAAGUACUUUCAGUCGGGAGGAAGGUGGUAAGGUUAAUAACCUUAUCAAUUGACGUUACCGACAGAAGAAGCACCGGCUAACUCCGUGCCAGCAGCCGCGCUAAUACGGAGGGUGCAAGCGUUAAUCGGAAUUACUGGGCGUAAAGCGCACGCAGGCGGUUGAUUGAGUCAGAUGUGAAAUCCCCGGGCUUAACCCGGGAAUUGCAUCUGAUACUGGUCAGCUAGAGUCGUGUAGAGGGGGGUAGAAUUCCAUGUGUAGCGGUGAAAUGCGUAGAGAUGUGGAGGAAUACCGGUGGCGAAGGCGGCCCCCUGGACAAAGACUGACGCUCAGGUGCGAAAGCGUGGGGAGCAAACAGG
rnacentral:rRNA from 1 species